UACGGGGGGGGCAAGCGUUGUUCGGAAUUACUGGGCGUAAAGGGCUCGUAGGUGGCCAACUAAGUCAGACGUGAAAUCCCUCAGCUUAACUGGGGAACUGCGUCCGAUACUGGAAGGCUUGAAUCCGGGAGAGGGAUGCGGAAUUCCAGGUGUAGCGGUGAAAUGCGUAGAUAUCUGGAGGAACACCGGUGGCGAAGGCGGCAUCCUGGACCGGCAUUGACGCUGAGGCGCGAAAGCCAGGGGAGCAAACGGG
rnacentral:rRNA from 1 species